rnacentral:tRNA from 1 species
GGCCCCGUGGUGUAGCGGCUAACACACUGCCCUGUCAAGGCAGAGAUCACGGGUUCAAAUCCCGUCCGGGUCGCCA